UCAGCUGUACAUAGCUGCAUCUGACGUGGUUUGAAGAUGUUUGCUCGGCUUGUAAUAUCUUUAGUUUUUUUCUUGAAUCUGAAGUGUGUGACCUGUGAUUGUGACAACACAGAUAUAUAUACAUUGCACCAUGACUAUAUGAUAAACUGGG